GAGUUUGAUUAUGGCUCAGGAUGAACGCUGGCGGCGUGCGUAACACAUGCAAGUUGGACGACGGUGCUAUGAAGUGGUAACACGGAAUGGUAUACGGAGUAGCGGACGGGUGAGUAAAGCAUGAGGAGCUGUCCUGUUGAGGGGGAUAACGUUCGGAAACGGACCCUAAUACCCCAUAGGCCGAGAGGUUAAAGGCAGAGAUGCGCGACAGGAGGUACUCGUGUCCUAUCAGCUAGUUGGUGAGGUAACGGCUCACCAAGGCGACGACGGGUAGCCGGCCUGAGAGGGUGACCGGCCACACUGGAACUGAGACACGGUCCAGACUCCUACGGGAGGCAGCAGUGGGGAAUAUUGGGCAAUGGGAGGAGUCCUGACCCAGCGACGCCGCGUGAACGAAGACGGCCUUCGGGUUGUAAAGUUCUUUUAUGUGGGAAGAAGGAAGUGA
rnacentral:rRNA from 1 species